rnacentral:misc_RNA from 1 species
GAUGAAGAACGCAGCGAAAUGCGAUACGUAGUGUGAAUUGCAGAAUACCUGGAACCAUCGAAUCUUUGAACGCAACUUGCGCUCGAGGCCUCGGCCAAGAGCAUGUCUGCCUCAGCGUCGGCUUCCACCCUCCCCCCAAAACCCCCUCUUCGGAGCGGGUGCGGGGCGAGAUCUGGCCGCCCCCGCGACUGCUCUUUUUCACCCGAAAAAGGCAGGCGGGUCGGCUGAAGACCAGACGGGAACGCGCGUUCGUGACGACUCCCGCGAGGGAGGCGCAUCAACUGGGUAGCUGGCCUUGAAAAGCUGGACGAAGGUUGCAUGCCUCGCGUCGCCCGCGUUUCCAGGCCAAACCAGGAAACCUUGAACCACCAAUUCGACCUGAGCUCAGGCAAGGACACCCGCUGAACUUAAGCAUAUCAAUAAGCGGAGGA